GACGAACGCUGGCGGCGUGCCUAAUACAUGCAAGUAGAACGCUGAAGCGAGGAGCUUGCUCUUCUUGGAUGAGUUGCGAACGGGUGAGUAACGCGUAGGUAACCUGCCUUGUAGCGGGGGAUAACUAUUGGAAACGAUAGCUAAUACCGCAUAACAAUGGAUGACACAUGUCAUUUAUUUGAAGGGGGCAAUUGCUCCACUACAAGAUGGACCUGCGUUGUAUUAGCUAGUAGGUGAGGUAAUGGCUCACCUAGGCGACGAUACAUAGCCGACCUGAGAGGGUGAUCGGCCACACUGGGACUGAGACACGGCCCAGACUCCUACGGGAGGCAACAGUAGGGAAUCUUCGGCAAUGGGGGCAACCCUGACCGAGCAACGCCGCGUGAGGGAAGAAGGGUUUCGGAUCGUAAAGCUCUGUUGUAAGUCAAGAACAGGUGUGAGAGUUGAAAGUUCACACUGUGACGGUAGCUUACCAGAAAGGGACGGCUAACUACGUG
rnacentral:rRNA from 1 species